GGGCCCGUAGCUCAAGAGGAGAGCAUGCGUCUGUCACACGCCUGGCUGUGGGUGCAAGUCCCACCGGGUCCACCA
rnacentral:tRNA from 1 species